UUCAGUGGACACUCAUUGGGAUUUGGUUAACCAGUUAAAAUUCAUGAGUAAACCAGGAUUUUUUUUAAACCUAAAAAAUUUCAAGGGGGGGGUUGAACCCCUACUCCCCCCCCUUGGCUAUAGCCCUGCUUCUGCCCCAGUUCACCCAUGGAGCCCCACACUGCCCAUCAAAUGAUGUACGAUGUUCUUAUGGGGCUCCAUGGGCGAACUGGCAUGGCAGCGUGGUGGGAUGCUGCCACCAUCAACAUGAAGGCCACCCCAUGUUCCAUAAGGAACACAGCAGCAAUGCUUCCCCACGUGGGAUGGGGAAGCAUCAGCUGGCAGCCAGGAUUCUGGGAUUUCCCCACUGCCGCUGCACUGUCGCCAUGAUUCGUCGUGGAGACAGACAAAUCAUGGCGCUAGACCUCUCCUAGCCAGUCAGCCAUGGGAAUCCAUUGGGUGACCUUAGACAAGUCACACCCUCUCGACUUUAGAGGAAAGCAAAGACAACCCUUCCUCUAAAUGAAUCUUGCUAAGAAAACUCUGUGUUGAUUUUGCCACAGGGUUGCCAUAAGCCAGAAAUGACUUUAAGGCAUACAACAGCCACUGACCUUAAAAUUCUGAGGCCUAUUUUUGGCAGGACCUAUAUUGGAUAUUGGAUUCCACAAGUGCUAAGAGGGCUCAAUGUGAAAAGCAAACCUAACAAGCAGAGUAAAAGCCCCUGAGGAUGAGUGGGUUUACACAGAGUCAAAAACAGUUCUCUCUUCUGAACCGUUGCCCAGCCAGGUGGAAUGCUUGAACAAUUCCAUGCAACAAGUAGGCGAGUCAAGGUUUACUCAAGACAUGUAUGUCUCUUUUUAUUUUUCAAGAUACGAAAGUUAAUCUUGUUUUUCUGCUGAGAUAUAAAACCACCUUUAUUUAGUACCUGUCUUUGUUUAGUACCUGUAUUCAUAAAUGUUUAUAAUUAGAGCAAUGCUUAUGAAGAAGUAUUGGUUCAGAUGUUUGCAGAUUGGAAAUACAACCUGAUCUUUUAAA